UACAGAGGUGCAAGCGUUAAUCGGAUUUAUCUGGGCGUUAAAGGGCGCGUAGGUUGUUAUUUAAGGUGAGAUGUGAAAAUCCCCGGGCUUAACCUGGGGAACUGCAUCUUAUACUGGGUAACUGGAGUGCAAUAGAGGGGUAGUGGGAAUUUCCGGUGUAGCGGUGAAAUGCGCAGAUAUCGGAGGAACACCAGUAGCGAAGGCGGUUCUCUGGGCCGGUACUGGACGCUGAGGAGCGGAAAAGCGAUGGGGAGC
rnacentral:rRNA from 1 species